AUGCCCUCUGAUUUUGAGAAUAGUGUGAAAGAAUUUAUGAUUUCUCAAAAGAAUUUUGAUGCCUUGCUUGAAGAAAAAUUGCUCAAAGUUGAUGAUUUGGCUAGGAACAUUGAUAGACUUUCGCUUGAUGUUAAUUCUCUUAAACUUGGAUCUUCUUCUCCUAAGCAUGAUAUCAAUGAGUCUCUCAAAGUAAUGAGAAUCUCCAUUGACGAGUGCAAGGAAAGAACCGCUAGAUUGCGUGCUAAAAAAGAAAGCUUUAUAAAAGUGUGUUCUUCUAGUCUCCAUGAAAAUAAUGAUGAGGAUCUUAAAGUUAUUGAUGCGUCUCCGAUUAGAUCUAUGUUUUGCAAGAUGAAUUUUGAUGAUUAUGGGAGUGAUGAUGAAUCAACUUUGCCAAGAAGGCGUCCCAAAAAUUCGGAGUCUUUAGAUCUUAAUGCUAAAUUUGGUAAAAGAGAGAUUGGAGAAUCUUCAACUUCUAAUAUUGAACCUACUAUCUCGGAUUUCAAGGAAUUUCAUUAUGAUAAUUGCUCUUUAAAAGGUUGUAUUUCCUUGUUGCAAUCCGUUGUUAAUUAUCCUCAUGCUUAUAGUCAAAAUAAAGCUUUUACCAAACAUAUCUUUGAUGCCUUGUUGCAAUCUUAUGAUGAAAAACUGAAUUUGGAAGUUUCUAUACCUAGAAAACUUAAUGAUGAGUGGGAACCUACUAUAAAGAUUAGAAUUAAAGAUUAUGAGUGUUUUGCUUUGUGUGAUUUGUGUGCUAGUGUUUCCACGAUUGCAAAAACUGUAUGUGAUAUUCUAGGUUUCCAUGAUCUUGAUGAUUGCUCUUUAAAUUUGCACCUUGCAGAUUCCACCAUUAAAAAGCCUAUGGGAAGGAUCAAUGAUGUUCUUAUUGUUGCUAAUAGAAAUUUGGUGCCCGUAGAUUUUAUCGUUCUUGAUAUAGAUUGCAAUCUUUCUUGCCCUAUUAUUCUUGGUAGACCUUUUCUUAGAACAAUUGGUGCGAUUAUUGAUAUGAAGGAAGGGAACAUUAGAUUCCAAUUUCCUUUAAAGAAAGGCAUGGAGAACUUUCCAAGAAAGAAAUUCAAAUUACCUUAUGAAUCUAUCAUGCGUGCUACUUAUGAAUCAAGUGCCAAAGAUGGCACUAGUUAA
rnacentral:rRNA from 1 species